rnacentral:rRNA from 1 species
GUGUCAGCCGCCGCGGUAAAACGUAGGAGACGAACGUUAUCCGGAGUUACUGGGCGUAAAGGGCGUGCAGGCGGUCUGCUAAGUCCGGCGUGAAAUCUUUCGGCUUAACCGGGGGAUGUCGUCGGAGACUGGCGGACUAGAGGGUGAUAGAGGCGUGUGGAAUUCCGGGUGUAGUGGUGAAAUGCGUAGAGAUCCGGAGGAACACCAGUGGCGAAGGCGACACGCUGGGUCAUACCUGACGCUAAUACGCGACAGCAUGGGGAGCAAACGGGAUUAGAUACCCCGGUAGUCC